UCAUCAGUUCCCGCUCGACCACUGUCGUAAACAACGUGUAGUCAGAAGCUCCAGAGAUGAAAAUCAAGUUCUCAUUGAGACAACUUAAACAGAAAUCUUCCGGGAACAGUUGACCCUGACUCUCUAGCAGAGCUCAUCUCGGGUUCUUUCUCUUAUAGAAGUUUGUUGGAUGGCCGUAGGAGUUUUUCAGCCAUCAGUGUAGGAGAAACUGGUGCUACUUGCCUGCACCUUGAUAAGUGUGGGUUUUCCCAGUCAACACUAAACAAAUCACUACCUCUCCGUGAAUA